AGGGAAUCUUCCACAAUGGACGCAAGUCUGAUGGAGCAACGCCGCGUGAGUGAAGAAGGUUUUCGGAUCGUAAAGCUCUGUUGUUGGUGAAGAAGGAUAGAGGUAGUAACUGGCCUUUAUUUGACGGUAAUCAACCAGAAAGUCACGGCUAACUACGUGCCAGCAGCCGCGGUAAUACGUAGGUGGCAAGCGUUGUCCGGAUUUAUUGGGCGUAAAGCGAGCGCAGGCGGAAAAAUAAGUCUAAUGUGAAAGCCCUCGGCUUAACCGAGGAAUUGCAUCGGAAACUGUUUUUCUUGAGUGCAGAAGAGGAGAGUGGAACUCCAUGUGUAGCGGUGGAAUGCGUAGAUAUAUGGAAGAACACCAGUGGCGAAGGCGGCUCUCUGGUCUGCAACUGACGCUGAGGCUCGAAAGCAUGGGUAGCGAACAGGAUUAGAUACCCUGGUAGUCCAUGCCGUAAACGAUGAGUGCUAAGUGUUGGGAGGUUUCCGCCUCUCAGUGCUGCAGCUAACGCAUUAAGCACUCCGCCUGGGGAGUACGACCGCAGGGUUG
rnacentral:rRNA from 1 species